rnacentral:lncRNA from 1 species
AUCCGCUCAUUACAGCUGGUGAGCUUUCUGUUAACGGUGCUGCAAGAACAAAGGUGGAGGCAUUGAAGCAACUUGUGCUUCUCUCUUCAUUGCAACCCACCCUUGUGGCAGGAAAAGUCUUCUUGAUCAUUCAAACCACUUGAAGACAGCAUUCUUCUUCAGGAAUUGAACUGAAUGUGCUGCCAUCCUAGGCAAAAACUCCCAACUGACUGAUUUGCAAAGGAUUUGUAGCUGAUAAAGAUGGUGCUUGGGACACACAUUCUCCUUCCUUUCUGGGGGAAAUCUAAAUGCCUGGAGCUGAGCAGGUGUUUCAUGUCGAGAAAGAGAAGAAUAUCUGGGGAUAGGGCAUUAAAUGAUGAGAGGACCAGGACAAGGAAACCAGAGGCUGGCCUGAAUCACUACAUCCUGGUCUUGUAGAAAUGCUUGACUCACCUCUUCAUUCCAAAUUAGCAAAAUGAGCAACAUGUAAUUUUUUUUAUCUACAGGAUUUGGGUUUGUUCUGACUUGUCUAAUUACACUCUUCAAUUCACCAAAA